AAAGUCGUAACAAGGUUUCCGUAGGUGAACCUGCGGAAGGAUCAUUACUGAUAUUAGAAUGAUAGGAUGGACUCGAAGAGUUCAUUCUGUUAUUUUUACAUUUGCGCUUGUAUGGUUUGACAGAGUAACUUUUGAUACAAAUUGACAACUUUUAACAAUGGAUCUCUUGGCUCUU
rnacentral:misc_RNA from 1 species